UACGUAGGGGGCGAGCGUUGUCCGGAGUUACUGGGCGUAAAGCGCACGCAGGCGGUCUGCUAAGUUUGGAGUGACAGUUGGUGGCUUAACUGCCAAAGUGCUUCGAAAACUGACAGACUUGAGGGCUUCAGAGGGACACGGAAUUCCGGGUGGAGUGGUGAAAUGCGUAGAUAUCCGGAGGAAUACCAAAGGCGAAGGCAGUGUCCUGGAGGGUUAACUGACGCUGAGGCGCGAAAGCUAGGGGAGCGAACAGG
rnacentral:rRNA from 1 species